CUGGUUGAUCCUGCCAGAGCUAUCUGCUAUGGGGGUUAGAUUAAGUCAUGCUAGUUAAAGUAGCUUCGGCUACUUGGCAAAAUGCUGAGUAACGCGUAGAUAAUCUACCCUACAGUUCAGGAUAAUCCCGGGAAACUGGGGCUAAACCUGAAUAGUUGUUAUUUGUUGGAAUACGGUAACAAUGAAAGGUAACGCUGUAGGAUGAGUCUGCGUCCGAUUAUGGUCGUUGUUGGGGUAAUGGCCCAACAAGCCUAGGAUCGGUAGGGGCCGUGAGAGCGGUAUCCUCCAGACGCGUACUGAGACAAGGACGCGCGCCUUACGAGGUGCAGCAGGCGCGAAAAUUGACCUAUGCACGAAAGUGUGAGUCAGUAACCCCCAGUGCCAUCUUCACGGAUGGCUUUUUUUUCAAGCGUAAAAAACUUGACGAAUAAGUAGAGGGCAAGACCGGUGCCAGCCGCCGCGGUAAAACCGGCUCUACGAGUGGAUAGCGCUAUUACUGGGGCUAAAGCGUCCGUAGGCGGAUUGGUAGGUUCCUCAUUAAAGACCUGGUCUUAAGCUAGGAAAUCUGAGGAAUACCACCUUUCUUGGGAACGGAAGAGGUAACCGGUACGUUAGGAGCAGGGGUGAAAUCCUAUAAUCCCUAACGGACCACCGAUGGCGAAGGCAGGUUACUAGGACGUGUCCGACGCUGAUGGACGAAAGCUAGGGUAGCGAGCCGGAUUAGAUACCCGGGUAGUCCUAGCUGUAAACGAUGGUCACUAAGUGUUUGGGGGCCUUAUGGCUUCCAAGUGCCGAAGCGAAGGCGUUAAGUGACCCCCCUGGGAAGUACGGUCGCAAGACUGAAACUUAAAGGAAUUGGCGGGAAAAUACCACAACGAGUGGAACCUGCGGCUUAAUUGGAUUCAACACCGGAAAACUCACCCGGGUCUACCAACUCUUGAUAGCCAAGCUGAUGACUUUGCUUGAGGUUGGAGAGCUGGUGCAUGGCCGUUUCAAGCUCGUGCCGUGAGGUGUCAACUUAAGUGUUGCAACGAGCGAGCUCCCUGUGAUUAGCUGCCAGCAAGCCCUUCGGGGUGUUGGGGACACUAAUCAGACUGCACGCGCUAAGUGUGAGGAAGGUGGGGGCCACAGCAGGUCAGUAUGCCGCGAAUAUCCGGGGCCGCACGCGGGUUACAAUGGGUGCGACAGAACGGAUCCUACAUCGAAAGGUGACGGUAAUCGUUAAACGCACUCUCAGUCGGAAUUGAGGGCUGCAACUCGCCCUCAUGAACUUGGAAUUCGUAGUACUCGCAUGUCAUUAACGCGCGGGGAAUACGUCCCUAUUUUUUGCACACACCGCCCGUCGCAGCACGAGAGACUGCUUUCGAUGAGGCCGCCCCUCUACGGAGAGGUGUUCGAAUCGAGGGUAGUUGAUUGGGCUGAAGUCGUAACAAGGUA
rnacentral:rRNA from 1 species